AUUAGACGAAUCAUCUGGAAAGAUGAAUCAAAGAAGGUAAUAAUCCUGUAGUCGAAAAUGUUGUCUCUCUUGAGUGGAUCCUGAGUACGACGGAGCACGUGAAAUUCCGUCGGAAUCUGGGAGGACCAUCUCCUAAGGCUAAAUACUCUCUAGUGACCGAUAGUGAACCAGUACCGUGAGGGAAAGGUGAAAAGCACCCCGGAAGGGGAGUGAAAUAGAACCUGAAACCGUGUGCUUACAAGUAGUCAGAGCCCGUUAAUGGGUGAUGGCGUGCCUUUUGUAGAAUGAACCGGCGAGUUACGAUUUGAUGCAAGGUUAAGCAGUAAAUGUGGAGCCGUAGCGAAAGCGAGUCUGAAUAGGGCGUUUAGUAUUUGGUCGUAGACCCGAAACCAGGUGAUCUACCCUUGGUCAGGUUGAAGUUCAGGUAACACUGAAUGGAGGACCGAACCGACUUACGUUGAAAAGUGAGCGGAUGAACUGAGGGUAGCGGAGAAAUUCCAAUCGAACCUGGAGAUAGCUGGUUCUCUCCGAAAUAGCUUUAGGGCUAGCCUCAAGUGAUGAUUAUUGGAGGUAGAGCACUGUUUGGACGAGGGGCCCCUCUCGGGUUACCGAAUUCAGACAAACUCCGAAUGCCAAUUAAUUUAACUUGGGAGUCAGAACAUGGGUGAUAAGGUCCGUGUUCGAAAGGGAAACAGCCCAGACCACCAGCUAAGGUCCCAAAAUAUAUGUUAAGUGGAAAAGGAUGUGGCGUUGCCCAGACAACUAGGAUGUUGGCUUAGAAGCAGCCAUCAUUUAAAGAGUGCGUAAUAGCUCACUAGUCGAGUGACACUGCGCCGAAAAUGUACCGGGGCUAAACAUAUUACCGAAGCUGUGGAUUGUCCUUUGGACAAUGGUAGGAGAGCGUUCUAAGGGCGUUGAAGCAUGAUCGUAAGGACAUGUGGAGCGCUUAGAAGUGAGAAUGCCGGUGUGAGUAGCGAA
rnacentral:rRNA from 1 species